GUUUGAGGGUGGAGUUUGUGAAUUCCGUGAUAAGUUGGCUAAGUACGCGAUUGAGAAUGGUUUUAAGAUGAAGUAUUUGAAGAAUGAGCCUCGUCGUGUUACUGCUGUGUGUGCUAAGAAGGAAUCAAAUGGCUGUGAGUGGAAUGUGCAUGCUGUUAAGUCCAAUGUAAAUGGAUUUUUCUAUAUUAAGAAUUUAAAUAAUGUACACAGUUGUAGUGGUUUGAUCCGUGAGAAGAGAAAUAAGGCAAUGGGGUCU
rnacentral:lncRNA from 1 species